UUUAAGUGUGCAUUCAUAUUUGAGAACCCAUACACUAGGAUAAAGGAGAUUUUUUAAAACUUCCAAGUUACUUGGCUCUUGAUAAAUUCCCUGCAUAGUUUUCCAUGUGUUGCUUGCUUAAAGGAACGGCUGCCAGAGCCCCAUGUGAAGGUGACCCAGUGCCUUUGCCCAGUGUAUAGACAAGAGAAAAGGGUUCCAGGGGGUUUCCUCUCAGAAGGCUUAUAGAUCAGAGGUCAGGCAGCCAGCAGAGACAAAGCUCUAGUUCUUACCUAGGAUUCUUUCCUUUUUGUUUGUUUUUUGAGGCAGAUUCUUUACUUAAGUAAGGCUUGAAACUAACUUUCUUCCCCGCAGCAAUCUACAACAAAGGGAGGCCCUGGAAAUUAGGGAUUCUUUUCUUCUUGGGAUCCUGGCUCCUCAUCUUGUCCUCGUAACCAUUUCCUCCAUAAGUAAUCUCAGGCAUUCAGCCAGAGGAUUUUUAAGCCUACAGUGCCAAGCCCACUUUAAUACAGUUUUCAGUGUGACUGCAUUUCAACUGUAGAAAUCUCAGUACUUUUCACAUGUGAAGUUAGGAGUUAUAGUGUCCUAUAUGUUCUAGGCUGGAAAGAUUGUAAGUGUUCUCUCUUCUAGCUGGGGUAGGCCUGAGGGGGCAAGUGGGCUGGGGUGAAGGAAGCAGGCACAGCAGGGUCAGGGCCUUUUAAAGAACAGAUAGUGUGUAUCACGGCUUCCACCAAACCUCCUUUUCUUCAGAUGACCUGAACAUUGGCGGAAUUAUUGGGGGGGUUCUGGUUGUCCUUGCUGUACUGGCCCUGAUCACGUUGGGCAUCUGCUGUGCAUACAGACGUGGCUACUUCAUCAACAAUAAACAGGAUGGAGAAAGUUACAAGAACCCAGGGAAACCAGAUGGAGUUAACUACAUCCGCACUGAUGAGGAGGGCGACUUCAGACACAAGUCAUCGUUUGUGAUCUGAGACCCACAGUGUGGCUGAGCGCACA
rnacentral:sRNA from 1 species